rnacentral:rRNA from 1 species
UACGGAGGAUGCAAGCGUUAUCCGGAAUGAUUGGGCGUAAAGAGCGUGUAGGCGGUCCGGUAAGUCCGCUGUGAAAGUCGGGGGCUCAACCCUCGAAUGCCGGUGGAUACUGUCGGGCUAGAGUGCGGAAGAGGCGAGUGGAAUUCCUAGUGUAGCGGUGAAAUGCGCAGAUAUCAGGAGGAACACCUAUUGCGAAGGCAGCUCGCUGGGACGUUACUGACGCUGAGACGCGAAAGCGUGGGGAGCAAACAGG